UCUCCAGUGGACCAGUCAACUACUGUGAGCACACUUAUUAAUAACCUUUGCAUCAACCUUAUGUGGUAGAUCCUAAAAGCAAAGCAGCUUACAGGUGACAAUCAUCAUAAAGGCCAGAUGGCCAUCCAGCUAAAAGGUGAUAGGGUUCAGCUGUCAAUCAAAGCACCUAUUCCUAUUGCCUAUCAUUCCUCUACCCACAUCGUCUCGUGGUCAAGUGGAACUUCUCUUGCCCUUUAUUUUAUCAUCCGUGUCGUGAAAGUCUGCUUGCUACUAUGCAUCCCGUUUCUGUAACUGACUAAUAUGACCUCUGCUUCGGAUGGGGGGAGGUGUCUCCUUGUGUUUGAUAAAGGCUGCCUCUCUCUGAACUUACUCCCUCAUUGGCUAGAAGUUGAAGGAGUCUGAAAGAGCGGCUUAGGGAAUCCUGAGCUGUCACUGUUUCCCACUUGGCCUGCCUGCUCUAAGACAGGUGAAGCUCAAAUGUGUUCACCAAGCAGAGCAUCCUGCAGGAGACUUCACAUCGUGGAGUCUACAGCUAUAGUCCACGUUGGGCAUGCACACAGGACCUUUCCCCACUCACACGGUGCUCUGUUCUCUGCAUUACAACGAACCCCUCAGCUCAUAUUUACCUGCCAUACCCUCGGGUCUUAUGAGGGGUGCAGGAGGGUGGUGGUGCUUAGGAAUUUCUGAGCACUGGGGUACUGUAGCCUUACACACCUUUCCAGAUUCCCCUCUACUCCACCAUAAUAGACAUCUUAUGGGAGCUUCAGUCUCCUUGUGGCAGAGUAAGAAUAGUGAGAAUUUACUGCAGAGCUUUGCUGCGCUGUGUAGGAACCAGCAUAUGACAGCUUACUCAUUGCAAGUGGCUAUCAAGAUACAAUGUAUGAAUACACAACACAAGAUUUCUUAUGAAUGAAUGAAUGGCCUAAAGAUACAACAUAAGAAUACAGAACACACAGAUUUCUUAUGAAUGAAGGAAUGGCAUAAAGAUAUAACAUAUGAAUACACAACUCAUGCCUUUCUUAUGAGUGAAUGAAUGGCAUAAAGGAAGAUUGGGAAGGUUGACUUGAGUCCUCUAAACCAAUGAACAACUUCUUUGAAAUUGAGCUUUUAGAAAUUUGCUCUUUGGGGUGGGAAGUAGGUGAAAGAAAAACUCAAGGGGUUGUGUGAGAGGACCACAGUAUGGCUGGGGAUCAGGAUCAUCGAAGCAGCAGCUGGAUGGACAGACAAACUUUUCAGCUCUCCAAACCUAGCCCAGCCCUGAAUUUAAGCCCAAAGCUUUGCACAGGAGACUUCCAGAAUGACUGGAUUCUUGUGUGUGUGUGUGUGUGUGUGUGUGUGUGUGUGUGUGUGUGUGUUUCAGAAGGAGGGAGGUGGCAUGCAUGACACAGCUGUUUUCUUUUUUGUUGUUGUGGUUUUGUUUUUUGAGACAGGGUUUCUCUGAAGCUUUGGAGGCUGUCCUGGAAUUCACUCAGUAGACCAGGCUCACCUCGAACUCAUAGAGAUCCCCCUGCCUCUGCCUCCCGAGUGCUGGGAUUAAAGGGGUGCAUCACCACUGCCUGGCUACACAACUGUUUUCUAUGAAGAUAGCAAAUGACAAUAUUUCAUUGCUACUAUUGGAAUGAAAACCCGAUUAUCAAACGGAUACAGAGACUAAACAUGUGGAGUGCUGAGAGACUCUCUCAGCUAAGACCAAAGACCUUGAAAAACAGAAAAAGGCUUGAGCAGAAGGUAGCUGUCUUGUCUCUGUGGCUGAUAGGGACUAGCUUGAAAAUAAUAUAGUUAAUCAUCCCCCAUGCUUCUGGUAAUAAACAAUUGGAAUAUUUAUCUUGAAAGCCAGGUCAAGAUGUUACUGAUAUUAGGACCUCCUACUUUUUUUUAAAGCCAGAAUUUCUUAGACACAUUUAAACAGAAUCCAUUACAAACACUAAGUAACAAUAAUAACAAUUUGACUUGUAAAAUAAAAUACAAUUAACACGGCCCAGGUGCUCAGUAAUGAGCUUGAAGUAAUGACUCAUCCGUUUGAAAACUUCCCUGACUGAGGGUUCUAAUGUGAUUACAAGUGGGUCAUAAAAGUGGAUGUGAGAAACUAGUUUCCCAAGUCAGGAUUAUGAUUUACUGGAAUCCAUGACCCUACAGAGUAAGGCAAUAAUCAGCAGGCGAGAAAUGACUACUGCUGACUCAUUAAUCCAAGAACUCUGCACUAAUUACAGUGCCUCAGUUUCCCUAUUUUGUGAAAUGAAGUUGUCACCUGCCUUGCCACUCUGUUGUGUUUGGAAAGUCCUGGGAGAUAAUAGUCUGCGUGCUUUGAAAAUAAGGAAUACAUUAUAAAUGCUAAAUAAUAAUAAUAACAAUAAUAACAGGGAGUCUUUAAUGACAGGGGUCCUUUAAUAAUACUCAUCAAGUAUAAUAGCAUCACUAACCAGUAGGAACAAGACAGAGUGCGUCGGUCGUCUUAAUCAUUAGUUUGUCUCUUGGGAAAUUGGUGGGGGAUUGACGCCUCACACGGAGCCCCCACGGGCUUGCCAAUCCGGUCACUCCUGGCUCCCGGAAUAACACUUGUUUCUCUUUAAGAAGGCGAGCGGUGUAACUGGGGUGGGUGGGGCAGAGGUAUCCCACCUCACCUCCUAAACCCAGAGAGCAGGAUUAUAAAAUUCCAGCUCAUAGCUGGUUGGAGAAACAAAGAAAAGUAGACUUGGGACCCAUGAUAGCAAAGGGCUCGAGGGGCAACGGCCAAUGUGGCCACCUGAUCCUGCCACGAGGUGGCGACAAUCCAGCUGGAAAGACCCGCUGGGGAUGGCACUGAUGGUUGGCGACCGAGAAAGGAACUUCCACAGACACAAAGACAGGAUCUUCGGAACCGAGAAGAGGCGUUUGUCUUCUUCACCAGCAGUACCUCGAGAGUGGACGUGAUGAAAGCGGCUUGGAGAAGGAACGAGAAGCUCCUUUCUCAUUCCCCGGGCUUCCGCUUCCCAGGCUGCAAUCUUUGGUGUGGGGAGGGUUUUGUGAAAAAAAAAAAAAUCACCCGAAAAAGUCCAGGUUUGACCCCCUCCCUGCCGCCCGGAGGCCAGCCAGAUGCUUCCCCGCAUUCUCAGGAUUCCGGCCCGUGAGAGGACGAUUUUGAGCUCAGCCACACGCCUCGGCCCAGGAUCCUACUGCAACCGCGGCGAGUCAGACACCGCCGGGCAGGACGAUCCGGCGAGCUCACCCGGAGGCCGGACCUUGGAGGGGGCUGAACCCUGGCUCUGGGGCGCGCAGCAGCCGUAGGGUGUGUCCGCAGCUCGGCUGCACCCGGCUCCUGGGAAAAUGUCCGGAGCUGGGCGAGGCUAGGGGGUGGGUGCUCUCCUUGUUUUGUUUGGUUGUGAAUGCGAGGAACCGCCACACCCUCGUUUGUUUCAGGAGGGAGGGAGCUGGCUUUGAAACUCCGCUGUUAGGAAACUCGCAAUAGGGCGGUUAGGAAACUCCAGUCCAAGGACUGUCCUGAUCUGUAGAGCCUGGGCCGUGGCCCGCCUGGCCGCGGUGCUCCAGCCAUUGGCCUGCCUGGCCGCCACCAGCGAAUCCACGUCUCUCCAUGUCCCUCGGGCUUGGACCUCGGGUUUUGUUUUGUGCUUUCUAGUUGUUCACCACCAGACUUUGACUAAACAACACUGGAGCUUCCAAGAAUCUUUUUUUUUUUUUUUGCAAGAUUUCUUCUGACAGAAUUAUUGGGACUAUAGGAGACCAUAUGAACAAAACAACAAAACACUCUGAAAGAUGCUUCAAAAUCUAGAACUGUAACACAAUUCCUGGACAUUCCUGCUGGAAGGACAGAAGACUGGGGUGAUGAAAGUGGCCCAAGCAUUUUGAAGAUGACUCAUAGAGGCGACCUCAGAGCCGGAAACUGUGACUCAGCAUGGCAAAGGCAGUCAUACCAGUGACUCAUUGUGAUACCACACUGUGUUGAAAAAUCUCGUUCCUUAGCAUUUGGGGUGGGGUGAACGUUGUACAAACCAAGAAGGCACAGGAACCCAGGGAGUAAACCAUGUCUCACCAGUUUUCUCAUAUCCUAUUUCCAAGCUGUACAAGGGGGAAAAAUUAUCCAUGUAUUAGCUACUUUUCUAUUGCUGAGAUAAAACAUCAUUGUAUGUG